AUGCAGCUCUAGACCCUGGAGGGGGCGGCCGAAGCGCUCAGCGACCAGGUCAUUAUCGACCGGUUUGGCAGCCGCACCUUCGAGCGGGCCGACACGAAGACGUUUUCCGUCUGGGUGUGGGUGUGGGAGCUGCACCACAUCCCCACCAGUCAGACGCUCUGGAAGCACGCGCGGGGUGCGGGCCGGGUGGAGGAGAUGCACGGCUUCUCUCCGCCGAUCCGGGCCGUCGCUCCGCCGCCGGCCCUGCUUCAAUGGGACAUCCUAGUGCACAUCGACCGCAUCGAGGAUUGGGCCCCUCUGUCCCCGCGGUCCUCCCACUCCGGACAGAGCGGCCUCCCCCUCCUCGGAUGA
rnacentral:rRNA from 1 species